CAGUCUUGAUUCGACCAUUGCUCAGUACUUCCAUGUGGUCUCCUACGUGGACAUGCAAUGCAUGUGGGAGUUGCUGGACCACUUUCCAGCUAUUGCUGUUGCGGUCAACGACCUCCAGGCCCCGACAACUAGUGAGCAAAAUGAUUGCUGGGUCUUCUGGCCAAUACUGCACCCAAUCGCUGAGGGGAUGGGCAUAAUGCUUUAGGAAUGCGCGAGACAUACUAAUGCCAUCCUUUGAGCUGGUGUCAUAUCUAACAGGCUGCCGGAGGUCAUCUGAUGCAAACUCUUCCUUUACCUCACUUGGUAGUUUGAAGAAGUCUGAAGCUGCUUCAACAGCACCAUCCAUGAUAGAUUGACUGAUCCCAUGGUUUAUAACCUGCAAAAUGGAGGAACCAUCAGAUGAGAGAUCUGGUUGGGAAAGUCACCUUGCUUGGUCGACAUUCUAGCACUGGGUACACAAAUGGCAAUGUUAACUAUCAGCGUUUGGACCAGGAUAGAAAAUGCCAAGGCAAAGGAAAAA